rnacentral:rRNA from 1 species
UGCCAGCAGCCGCGGUAAUACAGAGGGUGCGAGCGUUAAUCGGAAUUACUGGGCGUAAAGCGAGUGUAGGUGGCUCAUUAAGUCACAUGUGAAAUCCCCGGGCUUAACCUGGGAACUGCAUGUGAUACUGGUGGUGCUAGAAUAUGUGAGAGGGAAGUAGAAUUCCAGGUGUAGCGGUGAAAUGCGUAGAGAUCUGGAGGAAUACCGAUGGCGAAGGCAGCUUCCUGGCAUAAUAUUGACACUGAGAUUCGAAAGCGUGGGUAGCAAACAGGAUUAGAUA